UGCAAGUCGAACGGUAACAGGUCUUCGGACGCUGACGAGUGGCGAACGGGUGAGUAAUACAUCGGAACGUGCCCAGUCGUGGGGGAUAACUACUCGAAAGAGUAGCUAAUACCGCAUACGAUCUGAGGAUGAAAGCGGGGGACCUUCGGGCCUCGCGCGAUUGGAGCGGCCGAUGGCAGAUUAGGUAGUUGGUGGGAUAAAAGCUUACCAAGCCGACGAUCUGUAGCUGGUCUGAGAGGACGACCAGCCACACUGGGACUGAGACACGGCCCAGACUCCUACGGGAGGCAGCAGUGGGGAAUUUUGGACAAUGGGCGAAAGCCUGAUCCAGCAAUGCCGCGUGCAGGAUGAAGGCCUUCGGGUUGUAAACUGCUUUUGUACGGAACGAAAAAGCUUCUCCUAAUACGAGAGGCCCAUGACGGUACCGUAAGAAUAAGCACCGGCUAACUACGUGCCAGCAGCCGCGGUAAUACGUAGGGUGCGAGCGUUAAUCGGAAUUACUGGGCGUAAAGCGUGCGCAGGCGGUUAUGUAAGACAGAUGUGAAAUCCCCGGGCUCAACCUGGGAACUGCAUUUGUGACUGCAUGGCUAGAGUACGGUAGAGGGGGAUGGAAUUCCGCGUGUAGCAGUGAAAUGCGUAGAUAUGCGGAGGAACACCGA
rnacentral:rRNA from 1 species